ensembl:snRNA U6 U6 spliceosomal RNA
GCGCUCGCUUUGGCUGCACAUAGACUAAAAUGGGAACAAUACAGAGAAGAUUAGCAUGGCCCCUGCCCAAGCAUGACACAAAUUCGUGAAGCGUUCCAUAUUUUU